rnacentral:lncRNA from 1 species
GAGCCUAACUGUUUGUGGAGCAGAGUAAUGAGGGCACGGUAUGGAGCAUGAAAGGAACUAGCAGGUGUUACAAGUAUACUUUUUAAAAAAUUUUGUAGCGAAAUACCCAAGAUUAAAUGAUUUAAUCUAAUAAGCAUGCUUUAGAUCAGAUCUAAAAACACCUAUCCUAGGAUCUAUAACAUGAUAUAAUGCAUAUAUAAGAUCUGAAAAUAAAAAUCUACAUGCAUGAUCAUAUCAAAGAUGCCGUAGAUCUAAUAUACAAUAAGUAUGAGUUCAAAACUAAUCACCUAAGCAUGGAUAGCAAAUCUUCAUGACUGAACAACAUGGUUUGAGGUUUUGCUAGUUGCUCGCAACUGCAUAGGAUGUCUGGCCUCUAUGAUCGUCCACUCGAAAUCCUACACUGAUCGAUCUUUUCGAGAGUGCUAGCUCACGCAAAGAUCCUGUUGAUGACUGAUCUAUACCUCUCUUUGGAUCUCUCAGGUUCUUCCGAAAUCGAAGAAGAAACACGGAGGAGGAUGUGGUGAUUGAAGGAGGGAGGAGAACUCACUUCUCUCUUUGAUUUCUCUUCACCCAAAAUCCUAGAUCAAUAUUUACGUCUCUCACCCAAGAGGAACUGGUUUUCUUCUAAGCACACACGCCAAAGAAAGGCCACCCACCCCUUAAUCCU